rnacentral:rRNA from 1 species
GACGAACGCUGGCGGCGUGCUUAACACAUGCAAGUCGAACGGAAAGGCCCUGCUUUUGUGGGGUGCUCGAGUGGCGAACGGGUGAGUAACACGUGAGUAACCUGCCCUUGACUUUGGGAUAACUUCAGGAAACUGGGGCUAAUACCGGAUAGGAGCUCCUGCUGCAUGGUGGGGGUUGGAAAGUUUCGGCGGUUGGGGAUGGACUCGCGGCUUAUCAGCUUGUUGGUGGGGUAGUGGCUUACCAAGGCUUUGACGGGUAGCCGGCCUGAGAGGGUGACCGGCAACAUGGGGACUGAGAUACGGCCCAGACUCAUACGGGAGGAAGGAGUGGGGAAUAUUGAACAAUGGGCGGAAGCAUGAUGCAGAAAGGCCGGGUGGGGGAUGACGGCCUUCGGGUUGUAAAACGAUUUCGCCUGUGAAGAAGCGGGAGUGACGGAAAUGGGUAAAGAAGCACCGGCUAACUACGG